CGUACACUCCUGCGGGAGGCAGCAGUGGGGAAUAUUGGACAAUGGGCGCAAGCCUGAUCCAGCCAUGCCGCGUGAGUGAUGAAGGCCCUAGGGUUGUAAAGCUCUUUCACCGGUGAAGAUAAUGACGGUAACCGGAGGAGAAGCCCCGGCUAACUUCGUGCCAGCAGCCGCGGUAAUACGAAGGGGGCUAGCGUUGUUCGGAUUUACUGGGCGUAAAGCGCACGUAGGCGGACUAUUAAGUCAGGGGUGAAAUCCCGGGGCUCAACCCCGGAACUGCCUUUGAUACUGGUAGUCUUGAGUUCGAGAGAGGUGAGUGGAAUUCCGAGUGUAGAGGUGAAAUUCGUAGAUAUUCGGAGGAACACCAGUGGCGAAGGCGGCUCACUGGCUCGAUACUGACGCUGAGGUGCGAAAGCGUGGGGAGCUAACAGGAUUAGAUACCCUAGUAGUCCC
rnacentral:rRNA from 1 species